rnacentral:pre_miRNA from 1 species
AAGUAGCUGGCUGAGCUAUGUCCAUCCGCCAUCCGUUGCAAUGAUCGGAUGUCAGCUGGACAUAUCACAGAAAGCUCUU